GAUGAACGCUGGCGGCGUGCCUAAUACAUGCAAGUAGAACGCACAGUUUAUACGGUCGUUUGCUACACCAUAGACAGUGAGUUACGAAUGGGUGAUUAACGCGUAUGUAAUUUUUCUUGUAGGGUGGGGUAACUAUUGUUAACGUUAUCUAAUAUAGGAUCUUCUUGUUUAUUCCAUGAUUCUUCGUUGAUUGCUGCAACUACUUCACUACCAUAUGGUUCUGUGUUGUAUUAGCUAGUAGGUGAGGUAACGGCUCACCUAUGCGACGAUAAAUAGCCGACCUGAGAGGGUGAUCGGCCACACUGGGACUGAGACACGGCCCAGACGCCUACGGGAGGCAGCAGUAGGGAAACUUCGGAAAUAGACGAAAGUCUGACCGAGCAACGCCGCGUGAGUGAAGAAGGUUUUCGGAUCGUAAAGCUCUGUUGUAAGAGAAGAAAGGGUGUGAGAGUGGAAAGUUCACACUGUGACGGUAUCUUACCAGAAAGGGACGGCUAACUACGUG
rnacentral:rRNA from 1 species